CAAGGCUUUUCCUUCAUUAUUGUGAAACCCAAUUCAAUUGCUUCAUUUUGGUUUUGCUGUUUAAAAAAAUAAAAUAAAUUAAAAUAAAUAAACCAGGGUGGCAUUACUAGCAAACUUGUAAUCACACAGAAUCCACUUUGGCUGGAAGACCCGGCUUCUGUGCAAACACUCUGGAGUCCUGUCUUCAUUGACUCUGGAUCUUGUGGCAAGAGAAGGUGCACAACACCGUCACCAUCUGAGCACAGGGAAACACGGCCCAUCUCCUCAGCUAAGUCCUAAUUAGCUUAGUCCUGUGGUCGUAAAACCAAAUUCCACAGGAGUGGAGAAUGUCAAGAGGGGGCCGUGCACAGAAUUACAAUAGGUCCCUGUCCUUGCUCUUCUUGCAUAGCUCAGAUGUUCUCUAUUUUGCUUUCAAAAGCAAAGGGCCUUCCAUCCCUUCCAUCCAUUGCUCUCUCCAUAGAGUCAGCAAAGAUCAGUAGUUCAUAAACUAGGAGCACAGCAGCAUGUGGGUCCUUCACUCAUCUACACCCUGAAAAUGUUCUUGAAAAGUUCUCAAGCAAGAAGCCAACUGCUCCUCUUCCUGCGGCCCCAGCAAAUCUCAGCAGGCCCCAAAGGCUGGAACCAGACAAGCGGGCCCAUACAUCCCCAUGUCCUAGAGCAGGAACCUGGGCCACCCCUGCAGGAAUCCCUGAGGAUCAGGAAAUCGGUUCACCAGCGUGGCUCGUCAUCCAACCCCACUACAGACAGGUUUUAGAUCAGUGACAUUCCCAGAAGUAUUUCCCCUCCAUUCCCAGAUCACCUGCUGUAUUAGUCCAUUUCCACACUGCCAUAAAGAUACUACCCGAGACUAGGUAAUUUAUCAGCCAGGGAGGUUUAAUUGACUCACAGUUCCACAUGGCUGGGGAGACCUCAGGAAACUUACACUCACGGCAGAAGGGGAAGCAGACGCCUUCUUCGCAAGGCAGCAGGAGAGAAAGAGAAGGAAUAGGAAGGGAGAAGAGCCCCUUAUAAAACCAUCAGACCUCGUGAGAACCCACUCACUAUCACGAGAACAGCACUGGGGAAGCUGCCUCCAUGAUCCAAUCACCUCCCUCCCUCCACAUGUGGGGAUUACAAUUCAAGAUGAGAUUUGGGUGGGGACACAGAGCCAAACCAGAUCACCUGGCUCACCCAGACCUGGGACCUGGAUGCCCCCUCACUUCUCAGUGUCAGGCUACUCCUCCAUAAGCAGGCAUCCAAGGACCCUCAAGGACCGUCGGUGGCUCCCUCCCUCCUUCCAUCAAGCCUUCACCGGGUGGUUGGCCCCAAGGCCCCCAUCCAUGGCCCCUGCCUGCUGCUGUCUUCUGGGUUCCCUGUGCUUGCCUUCAGGGAGCUCCCAGCCUUCUGGCCAUGAGCCUCGAAGUCCGGGGCUGUCUCCUCCCUCGGGGUCCUGGAAGUAUCUUUCUUGCACCUGCCCCCUCCCAGGCAGGCACCUCUGAAGUCCCCCCAGUUGGGGUCCCUCGUGCUCCUAGGGCUCCUCUCCAAUCCACUGCCUGCUGGGGGAGGGAUGCAUCCGGGGGCCUGGUCCACGGAGCCAGGCCACCGUGAAGGCCCAUCUCACCUGGCACAGGCCUGGUGGACACCGGCUGGCCGCAGCAUCACCGAGCCUUCCAGAGGCAGGGUGCCGUCCCCACAGGCCGGCCCGGGCAGCAUCUGCUGCUUCCCGCUGUGGCCAGCAGGCAAAAGAAUCCCUCCCUGAGUCCCAGGAAGGGAGGGAAAGUCCAGACUAGCACUGAGACACUGAGGGCUUUGGGGCGGGCAGGAGCAUGUAGGGGAGAGGCCGACGCCAAUCCCCCGACUCUCUGCAUGGCUCACCGCUUCCCUGCUGUGUCUCCCAGAAGCAGCCAUCACUGUCUGCUCCAGAACGUUCCUCUCCAUCUUACUCCGCGAGGGCAGGGAAAUUGGACAGUCUAUUUGCUGUCACGUCCCCGUACCCACAGUGGGAGAAGCCAAGAGGAGCUGGGGCCUCACCUGGCUGGGAUGGGCCUGCCAGGAAUGCUGCUGGCUGGUUCCUUGUCCCAGCUGUGGGCACAUUCCCAGUCCUCCGGUCGGGCUCUGUGGCGAGUCCUGAGGAGCACCCCAUCCUCUGGGUCCCGGGUGGGAAGAUAAAACAGAGGUCAGCAGAGCAGGGCCUGGGGCCGGACUGGAUCCUGUUCUCCAUUUUGUUGGCUGAAACUGUGGGCAAAUUUCCCCAACCCCUCUGAGCCUCAGUUUCCCCAUCUGUGCAGUGGGGACAGUAGGACUGACCCUGCAGGGAUGGGUGGGGACUAAAAUGGUGGGGGUGAGGCACUGAGCUCAGCAUACGGCCAGAGGGAGGGCUCCGGGGCACUCCUGGGCUGGGUUAUCCAAUCAGAACUGCGGGAGGGCUGGGUGCGGUGCCUCACACCUGUAAUCUCGGCACUUUAGAGGCCAAGGCCAGUGGAUCACCUGAGGUCCGGAGUUCGAGACCAGCCUGGCCAACAUGGUGAAACCCCGUCUCUACUAAAAAUACAAAAUUAGCCGAGCGUGGUGGCACAUGCCUGUAGUCUCAGCUACUCGGGAAGCUGAGAUAGGAGAAUCGCUUGAACCCAGGAAGCGGAGGCUGCAGUGAGCCAAGACUGCGCCAUUGCACUCCAGCCUGGGCGAGACAGGUAGAGACUCUGUCUCAAAAAAAAAAAAAAAAAAAAAGCUCUGGCCUGUGAAUGCAGCCUGAGAAGCCUGGACUAGAAGCAGUUCAGCUUCCUUCCACAUCCCAGGCGCCCACCCAUGCUGUGGUAGGACCUGCCCUUCUCGCGGGGGAAGGGAGGCCCUUCUGACCUCCACCUUCCAUGCACCAGCACCUUCUGUGUGUCCAGCACAGCUCGAGGGCCCGGUCACACAGAGGUAGGAAGGAGAAGGAGACAGACGUGGGACAAGUCAGUUCCAUGAACAUCACAGGGCCGGGCACGGUGGCUUGUGUCUGUGCCUUUUGGGAGGCCGAAGCGGGAGGAUCGCUUGAGCCUAGGAAUUUGAGACCAGCCUGGGCAACAUGGUUAGACCCCAUCACUACAAGAGAUAAAAAAUAAAAUAAAUCAUCGCAGCGUUGCACAAAAGUCUGUGCAGGGGACAAGGGGGACAGGAAGGGAGGCUGGCCAAGCCCCCACAAAUGUCUUCAGGGAAGAGCUUCCUGAGUUCUCCUUCUCCAGGGGCGGGAGCGUCCCAGGCAGACGAAACAGCGGAAGCACAGCACUGGAGGCCUGGCCUGGGCGGGAAGGGGAGGAGAGCGGCAUGGCCACUCAGGGACCUGCAUGGAGGUCCCACUGCCAUGUGACACUCAGCAAGCUCAGAUCCUUUUACAAAUAAUCAGCCACUUCUAGGAGAGAGAUUAGUCCAGAUUCCCCGGGAGCUUUUGACUUUCAGAGUCAACAAAGGAUAAAUUAAUGCAUCACUCUCUGCUCCUUCUGAGAACACGUGUCUAACCAGACCAGCUGCACCUUUGAGGCUGGGAUCAGAGGGAGCAGCUGAGGGCCCAGAGUGAGCCCGAAUGAGUGACUCUGGGAGCCGGGCGAGACGGGGCAGCAGGGAGGGCGCCCGCCACCCAUUGUGACCCUCUGGCCUUCCCGUCCAGCCUCUUCCCACACUGUGUGCCCCCCGAGCCCUCCUUGCUCUGGGGAUGGCAGAGAGGCUGAAGCCAGGAGGCUCUCAGGUAUGUCAUGAGUCAACCCAGACAGAAACAGAAAACGAAGGAGACAGGAGCAGGUGGGAGGGAGGGAAGAACUGGAGGGCCAUGGGGAGGCUCAGGACAGGGGUGGCCCUAGCCCAUCACUGGGCACUUCACUGAGACACCACACGAGGGCUUCGCCAGCUGCCCCUGUCCCCCCAGGGCAGAGAAUGUGGGCAGCCCAGGCAAAGCUGUCCUGAUGCCUACACCCUCAGCGCCCAGCCCUUCCAGCCAUGCCACAGGAGGCUCAUCCAACGGUGCGGAGAGAAGCGGGGAACAGGCCACAACUCACUGAAGGUCUCCAGAGCCUUCUCCCCACCAGCCGCAGAGCCUUCUGGAAGCAUUCGGUUCAUGUGCUCCUCUGAUGCUGCCAGAGCUAGGGGCUGGCACCUCCUGCAGGGAACAAUCAGACAGCAUGCGGCUGGAGGGGCGGAUGCCAGGCCUACGAAAGCAGCAGCCCUCCAGGAAGCGGAGCCCCGUGACCAGCCUGUCCCACGCCCCAAUAGUCGGCUAACUGCUCCUCCUCUCCUACAGAGCCUCCCCGGCACAGCUCACAAUGGCAAUCAGGGCACAGAUUCUUCCAGGAACUCCACAGGUACCAGACACUGCCCCAUCGGGGACGCAGAGGGUUGACUAAAUCAUCAGAUUUUGGCACGGCUAAGGUCCUGACUGCCUGUGGACACACUGACGGCCCAGGCCCAGCAUGGACGUGCAGGGCACCCUCGGUCUCCCCUGCUUCCCACCCAGGUGCCAGCCAGACCCCUUGGCUGUGUCCCACCAAGGACAGAUACGGACUACUAGGAAUGCCAAUGAUCCUGCGGUUCCCAGUUAGGGAGGCACUGGCUUCUGCACCCUGGCACGCUGCCCUGAGCCGCCUUCUGGCCUGCCCUGAGCUUCACCGAGCCAGCAGCCUGCUCUGCCCACUGGUUUAUGACCCCCCGAAGACCCACUGAUUGGCAGGGGAGUGGAGAUAAGGUAAUCCAGGCUUCUAAAGGUCCACACCUGCCUCUUUUAUUUUCUUGGAGGCGCCUGAUGAAAGCAAUCCUUUUUAUCACAACGGAAACAUCACAGCAGGGAUCGCCCCAUCACAGUGAUGUUAGAUCUGGCUGCGUUUAAGAAAAACCACAUCAUGUCUUCUUACAGAAGCGAGGACAAACACUGGGUUCGCUUCUGCAUCAGCAAACAUACGGCUGUGACCUGAGGCCGGACCGCUCACCUGUGAAACAAUCCCACAGGAGCUAAAGCUCUUCUUGAACGACCACUCACCUGUGAAACACUCCCACAUGAGCUAAAGCUCUUCUGAGGCCGGACCGCUCACCUGUGAAACACUCCCACACAAGCUAAAGCUCUUCUUGAACUUCUAGAGCAUCAGUACUCUGGCUUCAGAAGCUCUCUUCUUUCUUCAAUCUCUAAAUUC
rnacentral:lncRNA from 10 species